GACGAACGCUGGCGGCGUGCUUAACACAUGCAGGUCGAACGGAAAGGCCCUGCUUUUGUGGGGUGCUCGAGUGGCGAACGGGUGAGUAACACGUGAGUAACCUGCCCUUGACUUUGGGAUAACUUCAGGAAACUGGGGCUAAUACCGGAUAGGAGCUCCUGCUGCAUGGUGGGGGUUGGAAAGUUUCGGCGGGUGGGGAUGGACUCGCGGCUUAUCAGCUUGUUGGUGGGGUAGUGGCUUACCAAGGCUUUGACGGGUAGCCGGCCUGAGAGGGUGACCGGCCACAUUGGGACUGAGAUACGGCCCAGACUCCUACGGGAGGCAGCAGUGGGGAAUAUUGCCCAAUGGGCGGAAGCCUGAUGCAGCAACGCCGCGUGCGGGAUGACGGCCUUCGGGUUGUAAACCGCUUUCGCCUGUGACGAAGCGUGAGUGACGGUAAUGGGUAAAGAAGCACCGGCUAACUACGUG
rnacentral:rRNA from 1 species